GAAGCCAAGUUGUAGCUCCGAACUUACUGACAAUAGCCUAAGCAUGAUCAAUGGCAACAUCCGACUCUGAUAGGCCUGCCUAUACAAAGAGAUGAAGAGACUGUCUGACUGAUUUUUGUUCAAAAAAGUGAAAUAAUACUGUUCAUAAUAUUUUUCCCCUCAGGACCAGACAGUGUGACAUGUUUUCAGUUCUGUGCAAGGAACCACCAUCACACCAUGGAAGACGUCAAUGUCAACAGCAGAAGGAAAAUUACUCUGCAGGCCCUUCCCAUCUUCCUGUAGGAAGAUGGAUUUUUUAAGACCUGGAAUGCAGAAGAAAUUGACCUGCCAGACUUCUCGGAUGCAGCUGUAGCUAUUCUCACUGUCUCGGGUGAUACAGACUCCCUUGUGAAGUUUGGUCCUGCUAUCCAUUCUAUAGUUCUUGACGGAGAUAUUGUUGUUUGUGAUAUAGCAGAGUUGACAGAGACAUAAUUUGGCUAUUUGGCUUAAUUUAUGCACUUCAUCUCGAUUAUCCAAAGCAAUUGUCCUACACAUUUAAUUUCAUUCAAAAAAUUAUAAUGGGUUUGGAAAACCUGAAGUGGUUACCUCCUAGACUGCUGCUUAGCCUUAAAAAUAAA